CUCCUACGGGAGGCUGCAGUGAGGAAUAUUGGACAAUGGGCGCAAGCCUGAUCCAGCCAUGCCGCGUGCAGGAAGACGCAUCUAUGGUGUGUAAACUGCUUUUGUACGGGAAGAAACACUCCUUCGUGAAGGAGCUUGACGGUACCGUAAGAAUAAGGAUCGGCUAACUCCGUGCCAGCAGCCGCGGUAAUACGGAGGAUCCAAGCGUUAUCCGGAAUCAUUGGGUUUAAAGGGUCCGUAGGCGGUUUAGUAAGUCAGUGGUGAAAGCCCAUCGCUCAACGAUGGAACGGCCAUUGAUACUGCUAGACUUGAAUUACUAGGAAGUAACUAGAAUAUGUAGUGUAGCGGUGAAAUGCUUAGAUAUUACAUGGAAUACCAAUUGCGAAGGCAGGUUACUACUAGUGGAUUGACGCUGAUGGACGAAAGCGUGGGGAGCGAACAGGAUUAGAUACCCUGGUAGUCCACGCCGUAAACGAUGGAUACUAGCUGUUCGGAGCAAUCUGAGUGGCUAAGCGAAAGUGAUAAGU
rnacentral:rRNA from 1 species